rnacentral:tRNA from 1 species
AAUCAUGAAGUAAAAUAUACAUUCAGUUUCGACCUGAACCAUUGUGAAAUAUUCACCAUAUUA